ACAAACGUAGCACUAACCAAUGGAAAUAUUUUUAUUUCAUUUCUGGUUAUAUGAGGGGCCAGCUUCACACCUAUUCAAUAUUUUUUUCCUAAUAAAUUAAAAACGAAAACAGCACAAACACUAAAUUUUGCUGCACAAACCUGCACAAACGUAGCACUAACCAAUGAGAACACUUUGGUGCAAUUUAGCCACAAAUAAGGGGCUGUGUUACAUAACAGGUCAGAAAUUAAAUGUUUAAUAUCUCAAUAAGGUUAACAGUAAAUAUAAUGUUUAAUAUUUCAAUGACGAUAACAGCACAAACGUUAAUUUUUGCUGCACAAACCAGCACAAACACAGCACUAACCAAUGAGACCACUUUGG